GUAGCACCGCCUAUUUGGCUACUUGACUACCCCAUUCUUUAGUGAGUUAAAGAGAACUCCAUUACUAUAGACAGGGGUUACCCCAAGGCAGUUGUCAAAUAAAUGACACAACAGAUUGAUGGAAAAAAUGCAAAUAUCGUUUUAUUAUUACAAAGUGAAAAGAGCAAUAAAUAGCAAUUCAUUAAACACGGACAGACUAAAUACGUUGUCAAGACUGGUACAAGCAAGUGGGCUGGCGGCCUACACUGCUAGCUCUAAGGAGAAAGCUAUAGUUCCCUUAGCGGUUACCACGGGUUUUAUACGCUAUGGAACUACAGCUUCCUCAUUACAGGUCUAUCCCCAACACCUGUAAACUGUCACCGUUUACCUGAUGCCACGGGUUACAUAUGAAAAAAGUAGCCUAUAAUUUAAGUAAGAAGAGAGGUUACGUCUGGGAUAUGUUUUUGUAGGAGAAGUGUACGUGUGGUACGCAGCCAAGUACAGAACCUAAAGAUAAGAUUCCCAAGGUUUUCAUCCACAAUUGUGGCGAGCCAGCCAGGAGGGCAGUACCCCGGGAGAGUGACCUGCUUCUGCCGACGGAUAGAGGACUUCUUGACAAAAACGCGCAAAAUAGUAAAAGGAGCUGAAUAACUCAUAAGACGGCAAUACAGCAAUGUGGUAUGAUAUAACAUCUCUGUCUGACACUGAAGACAUUGAUGACUACAUCUGCCAGAAGCAAGAACAAUGGCAGACACAGAUAGGAGAGCCCUGGAACACCAGUAGCGUAUCAAUGCUGAUCUUCACUGACCUGAUAAGAGAAGGACUGCCUAAAGAUGUCCAAAAAAAGCUCAACGACAUUGUAGACCUAGACGCCAAGCCAUGGGAAGAAAUAAGGGCCCAUAUUCUUCACUUUGUCAGGAGACAUAGAGACAGUGAGAAAGACAAGAAAGCCAGCAAGAUGCAGAAAAAACCGAUUGCUAAACAGUUAGCAGCCAUGGAAGAAAAAGACAAAGGUAAGGAAUCUACAGCAACUCUGGCAGCGGUGGUCAUGCAGACUCCGACGCCACAGCCCAUGGUGCCACAGCUGCCACACCAGAGGCAGCAACAGCCCCAAUACAAGGCACAGCGAUCUUGGAAACAGCAAUCUCAGCCGCCACUCGAGAUCUUUGUGGGAAAUGGAAGUCAACCGGGACAAUGGCGAGGGAAGAGAGGAGGCCCAGGAAGAAGCAGCGGCCCGUUCAGAGGCCCCGGAGGUGACCAAGGGGGAAAAGUUGAACCCAGAGUGUGCUGGGGAUGCCAACAACCAGGUCACCUGAGGCGCAACUGCCUCCAAAACCCCUGGCCAGAUCUAGCACCCCAAUAUGAAGGAUGGAACCAAAUCCCCGCCACAAUUCUGUUGGAAUGGUAGAAACCAGAUUCAGGAACAACCACAAGACCGAGGAUAUGGAGGACCUCACUGGGUGCCCCCGGGGCAGCAAAACCAAAGCUAAAGAUGGUGACUAGACCAGGGAGGACAGUCCAAAUAAUCAAGGACAAGAAGAAAAACAGAUGUUGUCGUAUUCCUCAGCUACCCCUGAACAAGAACCCCAAAUCCUUUUAACAAAAGGGGUAAACAAUGUAGUUUUCUGAUUGACACAGGAGCCACACGUUCAAGCAUCGGAAAAGAUGGUAGUCACCUCCCACUGACUGCACUCGGUGUGAAGACCAAGGGUUUUGCAGGAAUACCCCAAACUGUACCACUCACGCAACUCCAGUUGAUCUCUAUUGAUGGACUGAAAACUACAGCUCAACUGACGUAUACCCCAAGAACCCCAGUUAACCUACUGGGACGAGAUCUGCUAUGUAAAUUAAACACAACAAUCUCCUGCUCUGCUGAUGGUGUAGUAUGCUUCUUUCCUGGAAUAAGUCCCCAGAUGGUACUGUGUCAAGUGGAUGGCGACAAUGGAAAUUACUUAGUCUAUUGGCUGAAGGUACCGCCCGAACUUCAAUGUACUUAGACUUUUUGCUCAAAACGAGCAUACAAGCAUACGAGCAUAAUUACAAGCAGUCACCUUGUAAUUAUGGAAAUUUACAUGUUUAGAAGUGUACCACACAGAUAAUAAUGGUAAUGCAUGUUCACAUAAGUGAUUUAUUAUUCAUCACAUAUUUUAUGAACGAACACACAAAUUGAUCUUCACAAUCGCACUGUGUUUUACGAUUUUUUGUAAUAGGUUGGGAUUCCCUCCCAAGUGAAAGGUUUGAUCUAUGUCUAGAAGUAUGACUGAAACGUAGAAGUCUCAAGGGGGGAAUGUGGAAGAAUAUGCUGUUAAACCAGUGUUUUACAUUAUAUAUCCUAACAUAUAAGUGAUUAAAAAUGUAUUCUUUUAACAGUUUUCAUGUAUAAUGCCUAACUCCCAUUUUAUUACCUUUGCGUGAGAAGAGAACAUGCCCUUUAUUGAAGUGCAUAAAUCUCAAGCAUGAGAUAAUGACAUGUGCCUUGAAAUACUCUAUGCAAUUUUGUAAAGAUUUAGGAUGAUUCCAUGAACAGGAGAUAAACGUAUAAAAAGUGUGCAUUUUCUUUGUUAUGUUGAGUUCAUUGCGGUUUGUGGGGGUCCCCCGUCGGUCCGCACAUACUGUCUCUGUGCUCCUGCAGACUCUGCAAUAAAGCGCUUCUGGUUCGAACUUA